CUGCCCAUCGCCGGACUGUGCCGCCGCUGGUAGGGUUUAUUCACAAACUCUCCCGCGUUUGCACCUCUGAAAGACGCACGUAGCUGCUUCUGCGAUUCGAUCCAGGCCUCUGUUCUUUCUUCCUUCUUUCUCGAGCUUUUGCGAAUCCCUAAUUAUGGCUAACACGAUGGCUAGGUCUUUUCUGCAGGUUGCUGCUACGGAAGAGGUUGCUACCCCUCUCCGAGUGGUCCAGAUUGAAGGAUUGGUUAUAUUGAA